rnacentral:lncRNA from 1 species
GAGUGGUCCCAGGGGCGGAGGAGUCUGCAGCUCGACCCUGGCAGAGAGGUGGUGACCUCGAGAAGGGCUGGCACACUAGGGGGCCCCCUGGGAACUGUGGGGAGCUGUGAGCACACAGGCCGGUGAGUGGCCAGCAGGAAGAUGUAUGCCAAGCGGCUUAAGAGCGACCUGGUGGAGCUGUGCAAGCAGAGGGGACUGUGCAUUGGGAGGCUCACCAAAGAACAGCUCAUUGCCCGGCUGGAGGCGGAAGAUCGCGCGAAUGAACUGAUCCCUGUGUGUCAGGGAAGCAGCCUGGCAAAUGCAGCGCAGGCACCAGAGUCUGUCCCAGCUGGGAGUGGUCAGCCGGCUGCUGAGGGCUUCCCGAGACCCCUCCUUCCUAUGCCUAGGGGAAGGGUGGGGAGGAGCCCAGCAAAUACCAAGGGUGCCGUGACCCCCCUGGCCAGCAGGGGAUCCCCCCGGCGAAGCUCGCCGGCCAGCAGAGGAUCCUCCCGGCGACGUUCGGCAUCCGUGGAGCGGAAUUGGCUGGAAUGGGAGAAAGAGCUAAAACUGAGAGAGCUGGAGGAUCGUGAACAACAGAGACAGCGUCAGCAUGAACGGGAGGAGAAAGAGAGACAGCAUCAGCGUGAACGGGAGGAGAAAGAGAGACAGAGACAGCAUGAACGGGAGGAGAAUGAGAGACAGCGUCAGCAUGAAGAGAGACAGAGACAGGAGAAUGAGAGAGAGCGUCAGCAUGACCUGGAACUGGCGAGAUUGAAGGGCAGCGAACCCCCGGCUGCGGUGAGUGAGGGGGGACCCAGGACUGCACGGAGCUUUGAUAAGUGCAUCCUGGCCCCACGCAAGGAGCGGGAGGACAUGGAUGACUUCCUGGAGGCUUUUGAGACGGCCUGCGAGCUGCACCGGGUUGAUCCCGCGGACAGACUCCGGGUCCUUACCCCCUUGCUGGACCCCAAAGCCGUGGCAUUGUACCGCCAACUGGGAGAGGCAGAGAAAGGGGACUACGAACUAUUCAAAAAGGCCCUGCUACGUGAGUUUGGGCUGACUCCUGAGAUGUACCG